CCUACGGGAGGCAGCAGUGAGGAUUAUUGGUCAAUGGACGAGAGUCUGAACCAGCCAAGUAGCGUGAAGGAUGACUGCCCUAUGGGUUGUAAACUUCUUUUAUAUGGGAAUAAAACGUUCCACGUGUGGGAUUUUGUAUGUACCAUAUGAAUAAGGAUCGGCUAACUCCGUGCCAGCAGCCGCGGUAAUACGGAGGAUCCGAGCGUUAUCCGGAUUUAUUGGGUUUAAAGGGAGCGUAGGUGGAUUGUUAAGUCAGUUGUGAAAGUUUGCGGCUCAACCGUAAAAUUGCAGUUGAAACUGGCAGUCUUGAGUACAGUAGAGGUGGGCGGAAUUCGUGGUGUAGCGGUGAAAUGCUUAGAUAUCACGAAGAACUCCGAUUGCGAAGGCAGUUCACUGGACUGCAACUGACACUGAGGCUCGAAAGUGUGGGUAUCAAACAGGAUUAGAUACCCGAGUAGUC
rnacentral:rRNA from 1 species